rnacentral:rRNA from 1 species
GACGAACGCUGGCGGCGUGCUUAACACAUGCAAGUCGAACGGAAAGGCCCUGCUUUUGUGGGGUGCUCGAGUGGCGAACGGGUGAGUAACACGUGAGUAACCUGCCCUUGACUUUGGGAUAACUUCAGGAAACUGGGGCUAAUACCGGAUAGGAGCUCCUGCUGCAUGGUGGGGGUUGGAAAGUUUCGGCGGUUGGGGAUGGACUCGCGGCUUAUCAGCUUGUUGGUGGGGUAGUGGCUUACCAAGGCUUUGACGGGUAGCCGGCCUGAGAGGGUGACCGGCAAAUUGGGGACGAGGAUACGGCCCAGACCCCACGGGGGGGAGAAGGGGGGGAAUAUUGCAAAGGGGCGGAAGCCGUAUGGAGCAAACCCGCGGGGGGGGGGAAGGGCUUUGGGGUUGAAAACCCGUUUCCCCUUGGAGAAGGGGGAGGGAAGGGAAAGGGGAAAGAAAGACCGGCCAAAUUAGGU